rnacentral:rRNA from 1 species
UACGUAGGGUGCGAGCGUUAAUCGGAAUUACUGGGCGUAAAGCGUGCGCAGGCGGUUUUGUAAGCCGGAUGUGAAAUCCCCGGGCUUAACCUGGGAAUGGCAUUCGGGACUGCAAGGCUGGAGUGCGGCAGAGGAGACUGGAAUUCCUGGUGUAGCAGUGAAAUGCGUAGAUAUCAGGAAGAACACCUAUGGCGAAGGCAGCACUCUGGGACGGUACUGACGCUGAGACGCGAAAGCGUGGGGAGCGAACAGG